UCGAAGUGGACGGUGGUAAUUCGCGUAUUGUAAUUUUAACACGAGCGGGAUCAAAUCCUUUGCAGACGACUUAGCUGUGCGAAACGGUCCUGUAAGCAGUAGAGUAGCCUUGUUGUUACGAUCUGCUGAGGGUAAGCCGUCCUUCGCCUAGAUUUCU
rnacentral:ncRNA from 1 species